GGAUGUGCUGGGCCUGACCAGCCGCCCGCUUUCCUCUUCUCUUGCCUCUGCCUGCCCCCUGGUGGACAGCUGGGGUAAAGCAUGGGAGUGCGCCUUUGGGGUCUCAGUGGGGCUGAAAUACGACUCCUCCCCUAGGACAGCCUGCCUUCCCCAGCCUUGUUCUCCGGCAAAGUCAAUUUCCUGGAGAAUCGAGGCUCUGCCUCAGAUGUUCGGAGCCUCCGCAGGAUGAACACCUCCAUUUCAAUUCCAGGGGCUUUGAUCAACCUGUGCCUCCCUUGAUCCCCAACUUGUGGGCACCUUCCCUUGAGCAGUGCCCCCACGAGGUACACCUUUCCCGGGAAACAAAAAUCAUUCCUUCUUUGGGUCCUGCAAGCUGUAAAGAACCAAUACAGCACUGUGCUACUGAACAUGUUGCCACUAUAGAAGCCCCUUGUGUUUUGAAGAGUACAUCUCUAUAGCCAUUCGUUUAUUCAUCAGAAACCAGCUAGAAGCCAGGCCCUGUGCUGGGCGCUGGAGACAUGGAAGAAACUGGGCUGAGGCUCCCGCCUUGAAGAGCUUGUGGCCCAGGGAAGGGACAGUUCAUCUGUCAUUGAUUGCCACGUGACAGUGUCUAUGAUGCUAAAAAGAUGCCAGUGCUGUGCUGCAGGAGCAAAGGCCGUGGAGGAAGAGGCUUUGGCUUUGUUGCGAGUCCUUGCCAGAGCCAGGCAAAGCCAGUCACCGCUUUGUUCAGAUGACUCAGGUAAAUAAAUGAGGCCGCACAGGCUGUCCUGACACCACACACCUCUAGAAUACCCUGGCUGUGCUGGGAGCUAUUGGUGUCAGCUGAGUAUUUUCAUCCCUGUCCAAGUCACAAUGAUCUGACUGUACCAGCCUGUGUGGAUGUUGCUAAGAGGAGGCAGACAGCACCAUGAGCUCCCUUAGAUGACGAUCGGCAUGAUGUUCCUGCUGUGGCAGCGCUCAGCUCUUGCCAAUGCUCUUCUCUGCUUUGCUCACUUUAAGCCUCCCUUAAUUUUUUUGAAGCCCAGUUUCCACAUUGCUGAUUCACAGAUAUGCAAGACUCAGGCAGGAAAAAAAAAGUGUCUCCUUUUCCAGACUUCUUAGAGGACUUGGAAAGAAAAUGAAAUGACGUUGAACGAAAUCAAAGUAAAUUGAGUGAUCUGAAACGAUUUGAUGUCAGCAAGAAUUCCCCAUACAGCUCACAGCCCUACCCCGAGCACGCCUCCCUCUUGGGUAUGCUCUCUGCAGGCCCAAACCUUGCAGAAGCCAUUCCAUGUUUCCUGAGCAGGAAAAGACAAACUCAGACCGACAACCUUGGACUUCAAAAGACUGCACACAAGGGGAGGAAGGACUGAGAGUACCAAGGCGUGAGAAUUCAGAAUGCUGCUAUCUCAUUUAUUUUUACCAUUUAGGAAACGUUUUGAUCUGCAUUCCUUUUCCCUUCCCUGAUUUCAAAAAAUAAAAAUAAAAAUGCUUCGGUUCUGAGGAGUAACUCUCCA
rnacentral:lncRNA from 1 species